CUCCAAGCCUGCUCCAGCCCAGACAGCCCUGAGUCAUUGUGAGGCCUGUAAAUGAGGAAGUUGUCCUGGUUCUUCAAGAGUGAACAUCAGAAUCACCUGUGGCAAUUUUCAUAACCCUAAAUGCUCAAGGCUCACCCUGGGCCCAUGGAACAAGGGACAUUCAGGUGCCAGGGUUUCACCAUUGAUGAGAGGGAGGCCUUUUUCAGCGCCAUGACAUACGUAACCACUUCCAUCUGAUUUUUUGGAUUCAUGCUUACAUUGCAACAGGCAACACCGCAGAAGGUGCAAACAAAAGACUUUGCUAAAUUGGAUUCAAGGCCAAAAUACGAGUUUUCAUGUGAAAGUUGGAGGUGGAAAAGUGAGAAUAGCCAAGAAUAUCUCACAUGUGUAAUCCAGUGGUCUGAAGCUCCAGAUGGCCCCACUUAAUUGUGCCUUGCUUUCUCCCCUGUCUUAACAGGGUCUUGCAGUUUGGAGCAUAGAACCUGAGCGUAGAGACAGAGAGGUCCCUCACAAGUAGACGUCUUCAAGCAGAGAAGAACAUUGCAUUGCCCCAUCAGCCUCAUCAAUGGUUCUCUAGCAAGAACAAAAAAGAGUCAAAAACUUGAGAAUGUCAUGCCUUGUCAGCCAGCAUGGGCCCUAAUUUAAAAUUUUAAAAUUAUAUAAUGGGUUUUAGGAAAUCCAGAAUAUAAGUCGUAUAGAUGAAAGAAUGGAGUCAAGAUUUCCAAAAACUUGAAAAUGAGCAGUAUCAUGCUGUUCCCUUGGAGAUUAUGAUAUGUAAUGCAUACUGACUAGAUAAGUAAAGAGACAAGAGAAGUCACACUAAAGAGACACAAUGAAUCCCAGGGUAGUUGGUUGAUGAAUCUUGAUUGAUAAGAUGCAUCCAAAUAUGGUCCAGUGGUGGGAGCACUUGACAGAUAAAUUUUGAAUUCUAAAUUA